GGAGGGACGUUCCUGCCCUUCCUUCCUCGGGCAGGUGACCAGAGGUCACCAGUGCUGGGCGCCUGGGGCGGUGGCACGCGAGAGGGCGGUCCCUGGAGGCUCCGCCCUGGACCGUCCAAAGGCGGCCACCCUGGCUGGGGGAAGUGGCCGGCUGGCGGCGAUCUGGUCGGUUGACAGCUGCUGACAGCUGCAGGCGCGGUGGGUGGGGAAGCGGGUGGCCGUCUGUCCUCCAGCCCGCGGUUCCGCACCGCUUUCCGGGUGAGCCCCGGCCAGCAGCUUCGCCCUCCCCGCGGCGGCCCGGUACGGUCUCUUUAAGAGAUUCGCGGGGCGCCCCGCCUCUUAGAGAUCUGAUUGGUCGCCUCCGCUCGUUUCGCUUCGAAUGGGCGGAAAACACGCUCCGGCUUUCUGGGUCGCCGCUGCUGGGAAGGGCUGCCCGGUGUCCUCGGGGCUGGCGGGCCCCGCGCGCUGGUGACAUCUGUCCCACCUCGCCCACCGCCCCCCAUUCGCGUGGAACCGGCUUCCGAGACUCUUGCGCGACGCUCCCCGUCCCCUGCCACCGACCCUGGCCUUCGGAGUCCCCUGGGCCUGAGCUGGGUCCUGGCACUCGGAGGCGGCGACAGUGGAUGGGCGGCCCGGGCGGCCAGGCCUGAGCGCUGACCCGGGGCUCUCAGGUGAGAAGGCGACCCCUCUCCCCACCUCCUGCCACCUCCAGCCUGGCACGAAGUCCUCCCUCCUCCUGUAGGGAUAGUGGCCCACCUGUCCCCAAGAAGGUCCCCCACGAAGGUCCCCGUCCCACUCAGGGCUCAGCCUCACCCGGGAGCUUUGGGGAAGUUUGAGAGAGGCCUCUGGGGGGGAGGUGAUUUACAGGAAGAGGGCAGAGGGGACUUGGGGACCCUUGGGGACAGCGACAGAGGAGGGGUCGGGCAGGGACGCUGAAGGGUCACAGCGUCCCUGUGCAUAAACACGGUGGCAGCACCUGCCCCCAGAGGAGGCCUGCACUGUUUAUAAGUCAACUCUGGGUAAAGGCCAAGGGACACCUGGAAGGCCAAGGACUCUACCCCCAGGGGACCGAGGUCACAGGCGAGUGGCCAGCGAUGGCAGACUGAGUGCCCCCUCACCUCUCAGCGCGCUGGGCACUGUGGGGGGACCCCCCUCUCCCCGCAGCCCCAGCUGUCAGUCGCGCCUGUCCUCACGUUUUAUUGAGCACCUACUUUGUACCCUCUCUGCUCUGGGGGACUGGGCCGUGUGGACACACAGCCAGGGCCACUGUGGCAUUCCCCCCACUUCCACUUUGGUCCUGGGGAAUUGAACCCAGGGGUGCUUGACCUCUGAGCCCCGUCCCCAGCCCCCUUUUUGAAAACUUUUUAUUGAGUGACAGAGUCUCACUGAGUUGCUGAGGCUGGCCUCCAACUGGCGAUCCUCCUGCCUCAGCCUCCCCAAGCACUCUGCCCUACUUAGGAAGGCUUGGAAAGGAGGUCAGGCCCUGUAAACAAAACCCAGGUGAGGUGGCCCGGGAGACAUAGUUAAGGUGGCUUUCUCAAAGGAGGUAAUGACAAGGCUGAGACUCAGAUGACGAGACCUGGACCUGUGGGCUGGCUAGAGGACAAGCAAGCACCUGGGCCCCUCGGUAGGAGUGUCACCGGGAGCGUGCUCCUGGGUCCUUGUUCCAGUUGCCAAUCCAUUAAGGAGGUUUUGAGAAAAGAAAAAAAGAAGGCUUCUUGCUUUGCUAGCUAAGGAGAGAUGAUCCCUGUGACACCCAGAGAGGGGAAGUGAUUCACCUAAGGUCACACAGCAAUCUGAGCCUCCUGUCCCAGAGGCUAUGAUUCUGCCCAUCACCAGGGAGAGGGGACUCAGAGAAAAUGAGACUAGGGCGGGGAGACCAGGGAGGAGAAGGUCAAGGGGAAGAAGAUCAGGGAGGAGAGGUUUAGUAAAAGAAGAUUAGAUUUAAAAAAAAAAAAAGAAAGAAAGAAAGAAAAGAAAGAAAUAUGUCCCUUUUUUAUUUAUUUUUUAAAUUUUUUUGGCA
rnacentral:lncRNA from 1 species